rnacentral:rRNA from 1 species
AGUGAACGCUGGCGGUAGGCCUAACACAUGCAAGUCGAACGGCAGCACAGUAAGAGCUUGCUCUUACGGGUGGCGAGUGGCGGACGGGUGAGGAAUACAUCGGAAUCUACUUUUUCGUGGGGGAUAACGUAGGGAAACUUACGCUAAUACCGCAUACGACCUACGGGUGAAAGCAUGGGAUCUUCGGACCUUGCGCGAUUGAAUGAGCCGAUGUCGGGUUAGCUAGUUGGCGGGGUAAAGGCCCACCAAGGCGAGGAUCCGUAGCUGGUCUGAGAGGAUGAUCAGCCACACUGGAACUGAGACACGGUCCAGACUCCUACGGGAGGCAGCAGUGGGGAAUAUUGGACAAUGGGCGCAAGCCUGAUCCAGCCAUACCGCGUGGGUGAAGAAGGCCUUCGGGUUGUAAAGCCCUUUUGUUGGGAAAGAAAAGCAGCAGGUUAAUACCCCGCUGUUCUGACGGUACCCAAAGAAUAAGCACCGGCUAACUUCGUG